rnacentral:rRNA from 1 species
UACGUAGGGACCGAGCGUUGUCCGGAAUCAUUGGGCGUAAAGAGCGUGUAGGCGGCUAUUUAAGUCCUGCGUGAAAUCCUGCGGCUCAACCGCAGACGGUCGUGGGAAACUGGAUGGCUAGAGUGCGGGAGAGGAGAGUGGAAUUCCCGGUGUAGCGGUGAAAUGCGCAGAUAUCGGGAAGAACACCCGUGGCGAAGGCAGGUCUCUGGGCAUUAACUGACGCUGAGGAGCGAAAGCAUGGGGAGCGAACAGG